UACGGAGGGUGCGAGCGUUAAUCGGAAUUACUGGGCGUAAAGCGCGCGUAGGCGGUUCGAUUAGUCGGAUGUGAAAGCCCCGGGCUUAACCUGGGAACUGCAUUCGAAACUGUCGAGCUAGAGUAUGGUAGAGGGUAGUGGAAUUCCCGGUGUAGCGGUGAAAUGCGUAGAUAUCGGGAGGAACAUCAGUGGCGAAGGCGACUAUCUGGACCAAUACUGACGCUGAGGUGCGAAAGCGUGGGGAGCAAACAGG
rnacentral:rRNA from 1 species